rnacentral:rRNA from 1 species
AUGUCAACAAAACAUGGCAUCACCAAUCAGCAGGCCCAGACAGGGGGGAACAUUUACUCUGAACCUACCAUGAAUGCUACUCGAACUGAUGAACAUAGAGAAAGGAUUGACAGGGCAAGCGGUGAUGAGGAAGGUAAUUGUUCAGAGACAAGAAGCGAUGUAGUUCAGCUUUCAGCAAUGAACCAAGCUAAAUCUUCUGCGCCUGCUGCAGGCAAGGAAUCAGUUAGCAAUUUGACAUCAGCUCAUCCUGAUCCGAACUUCAUUUCCACACAGAACUUUAGAAGUGAAGAUGUAUCUCUAGUGCCAAAUAUUGCAAGGUCCUCCAGCCUUCAGAGAUUAGGUAAGAGAAAGCAAGAUGAUGGCCCAGACUGCAGCCACGGCACAGACUCCUCUAAUUAUAAGAUGCAAAGGAACCAUGACUCACCAUCUAGUGCUUCUGAGCAAAUUUCUAAUGACAAUGCUGCUGUUGCUGAGAAUCAGUCUGCUGAGCAUCAUGCCUUAAGUAGCGUGGAUAGCCAAGGUGGAGUAACUGCAAGUCGUGAAGCCAAUCAGCAAAGUUACAAGGAAGCAAGUGGUAGUGCUCCUCAGAAGCUUGGCAGUCCUGUGAUUACCUAUCAUCAUCCUGACUUUUUUGACUUUGGCAAGAUCAGAGAUGUAAACCUUAUUGCAGUUGAUCAAAUCUGGGCCUUUUAUGAUAACCUUGAUGGCAUGCCAAGAGAUUAUGCUCAGGUAAAGCACAUUGAUACUUCUGACUUAAGAGUUCAGCUGACAUGGCUGGAGUACAAUCCAAGGAAUGAGCAAGAAGCCAAUUGGAAUAAUAAGGAAUUGCCUGUAUCUUGCGGAAGCUUCUGCUUAGGAGGAGAAACAACAACCCUAUUACAAGAUCCAUCCACAUACCUGUCUCACAGAGUUCCAUUGACAAGAGGCAAAAAUGGGAACUCCUAUGAAAUAAAUCCUAAUAAGGGUGAGGUAUGGGCUCUUUAUAAAAGAUGGAGCAUGCAAUGGAUCUCCGAUCCAGAUAACUGUCGAUCCUAUGGACAUGAUGUUGUGGAAGUUAUCUCUGAUGGCUCAACGAGUGGCGAUGUCAUUGUUUCGCCGCUUACGAGGAUUGAAGGCUUUGUUAGUCUGUUUGCACAAGCUAAGGACAAACGCUUCUUUUCGAUACCAUCAAGUGAGCUACUGAGAUUUUCUCACUGUAUCCCCUUUUAUAGAACACAUGAAAAUGAAAGGGUGGGCGUUGCAGAAGAGCUCCUGGAACUGGAUACAGCAGCUCUUCCAAGUGAUCUGGAAACAGCAUUUCCUUCCAUUACUCUCAACUCUUACAUGUCUUCGGAACUCAUUUCUUAUCCAUAUCCAGAAUCUGAAUUCCACAACUUUGAAGAAGACCGGUCAUGUGAGAAGUUUGAAAGUGGCCAAAUUUGGGCUCUCUACAAUGACGCUGAUACAUUCCCGAAAGUGUAUGGCUGGGUGAGCAAAGUUGAGAUACAACCAUUUGAAGUGCAUCUGACCUGGCUCCAGGCCUGCCCUCAACAGGCACAGGAGAAGCUUUGGUUGGGGCAGAAUGUACCUGUGAGCUGUGGCAAGUUUAAAAUACGAAGCUGGAAAGCCAAGUAUGGUGGAAACCACCCCUUCUCUCAUUUGGUAGAAAAUAGCCAAAUCGAUAUGAACUGGCAGGUUAAAAUUCUUCCCAAGGUCGGUGAAGUUUGGGCCAUCUACAAGAACUGGUCACCUGAUUGGGUUCCUUCCAGCAACAAGCACACUACUGAUUAUGCUAUCGGGGAGAUCGUCGAGUGCAGUAAACGAGGCACAUUAUUUUCUUUUCUGACUAAAGUUGAUGGCUAUGUCGCUGUGUUCAAACCUGACCUUACCAAGGGAGUACUGAAAAUACCUAGGAAAGAGAACCUGAGAUUUUCUCACCGAAUUCCAUCAUUCCGUCUCACAAAGGAGGAAGGUGGCAAGCUCCGGGACUUCUACGAGCUCGACCCAGCUUCUGUCCCUGGCGAUUUUCUAUAG